ensembl:processed_transcript
UUUAUUUCUGCAGUCCACCAUGUAUUGCUUUUAUUAAAGUUUAACAGCUUACAUCACACCGUUUUUAAACCGUAUAUUAUUGUGUUUUUUAAUGUAAGUGCUUCUAUUUACAUCAGUGAGCGUUUGUUAUAGUGCAGACACCGGCAGUCGAGUGAGAAGUUCGGGGGGCGUGUUUGAUUUUACAUAAAGCGUUUGGUUGGAAGCUCGACUCCGCUCAUUAUCGCGGCUCCUCCUCUGGCUCCAUCAGACAGUCCUUCUGCGCAUGUCUGGCUCCAAUUUCAGCAGUCUUUUGCGACAGUUUGUGCCCGUCAAGCAGGCGUUUUGCCCUCAAGGCGUUCAAUGGCAAAAGGGGCUGUCGCGUCGUCCAUAUUUUUUACAGUCAUUGUACAAUACGAGGAGCAAUGA